UGGUAAACUCCAUCCAAGGCUAAAUACUAGCACGAGUCCGAUAGCGAACAAGUACCGUGAGGGAAAGUUGAAAAGUACUUUGAAGAGAGAGUAAACAGUGCGUGAAACCGUUCAGAGGUAAACGGGUGGAGUUGAACUGCAAGCUCUGAGGAUUCAGCUGGUGAGAUUGGCGUGAGCUUGGUCACGUGAGUUGUAUUUCUGUGUCUGCUUAGCUGCAGGUCCUCGCUUCGGUGGGGAUGCGCGUCUAGCUUAUCAAGCUUUGCGCGCACGGGAACCUUUCGAACUCGCUUGCCAGUGCACUUUCUCAGAGUGUUCACCACGACCGGCGUUGUCGUCUGGCUGUUGCGGUUAAACCGGUCUUGUAGGGUCCUUGUGGCCUUGCUUGGUCGGGAUGGCAGGUAGCCCGUUGUGUAUUUUAUAUGCUUCGGGUGUAAUAGCCGACUGCAUCGGUUCUGUGCGGUACGUCGGAGACGGC
rnacentral:rRNA from 1 species